CUUUAGCAUACUCUGGGAUAUUUUACCACCUCGUUAAAAUGCCUGCUGAACUGAAGAUUUCUUCUCAAGGUGGUAAGCGCUUUUCCCAGGCACUUCACAAACCAGAAUGACAUGUUUGGAUCUUCUGAAUUCACAGUGGAAAAAUCCCCAGCUCUGGGACAACAUGCAGAAACUGUUUGAUUUCCUACAGUUUAAUACCCUUAUUGGAAAACUCAGGGCAGGAAGGAGGUAAUGCCACUUUCUUGCAGCAUAGUCAGGAAGUGGGAUUUAGGAAGCUGGAGUGUAUUUCCACCUACACACACACACACACACACACACGCCCCACCUUGAACGUGCUCAGGAUGUGGGUGUUAGUCCUGCAAAAAAAGCACCACUGGAUGUUUAGUGACCACAGGUGGCCAGGAUUUUGGCUGCACAUCAUUUGCAGACAGUUCAAUAAAAGAAAGGCCAGUGAGCUUUCUCUGCUGGGACAGUCCCUAAUCCCAUGGCUCCUGACGUAAGUCGCAGGCCAUCUGUGCAUUAAGAUGUCCCUCUCCCUUUUCCUGGGUUACAGAAAUGAGAUACAAUAAUUAGAUCCUUUGAGCUGAAAGGACACAGGGCCGUGCCUCCUCCUUCAUGCAGUGAUGUGAGGCGACAGGCAGAGGUUUCAGCAGCAUUUUAAACUCGCCAGAUAAUCAAUACCGAGGCUGAGGAGGAGUGGUGGGUUUACAGCUCAACAGAUCAGGUGUCGCAUCACGUUUGACCUAUUUCACAGCAUCAGCAUCACUUCUGCCCCAGUUGUCUUUUAAAAGAUAUCAGUGGAUACUGCUACCACUGCAGAACUGGAGGUAAACAUCACAGUCACCCAACAAGGUGUUAAAUGGGCUCCCCCAAGGGUUAAAUCACCAAUCCCCAGGGCAAUGUUUUUGUAAUAUUUCUUUAACGUUGGAAACAAAACCAAACAGGCCAAUGGUUCAGUGGCUCAGGGCAGGCUGUCAGCAGGCUUCUGCUUUCACAUACCCACUGGUCCACCCAGACUGCAUCAAGUGUAUUUAGGUCCCUCCCAGGC
rnacentral:lncRNA from 1 species